AGGAGAAACCGGACGAAGAGCUUAUGGGGAAACGUAAGUCUUCUCCGCGG
rfam:Paenibacillus sp. JCM 10914 DNA, contig: contig_50.